rnacentral:rRNA from 1 species
GCAAAAAUCGAAGUAUAGGAGGUCUUGCCUGCCCAGUGAUAAAUUAAACGGCCGCGGUAUUUUGACCGUGCGAAGGUAGCGCAAUCACUUGUCUUUUAAAUGAAGACCUGUAUGAAUGGCUAAACGAGGGCUUAACUGUCUCCCCUCUCCAGUCAGUGAAAUUGAUCUGCCCGUGCAGAAGCGGACAUAAAAAUACAAGACGAGAAGACCCUUUGGAGCUUAAGAUACAAGAUCAACCAUGUCAAGAAUACAAAACAAGUUAAACUAAAUGGCACUUGAUCCCUAUCUUCGGUUGGGGCGACCACGGGAGAAAACAAAUCUCCCAUGCGGACUGGGGUUAAUACCCUAAAACCAAGAAAGACACUUCUAAGUAACAAAACAUUUGACCAUAUAAGAUCCGGCAAACGCCGAUCAACGAACCAAGUUACCCUAGGGAUAACAGCGCAAUCCCCUUUCAGAGUCCAUAUCGACAAGGGGGUUUACGACCUCGAUGUUGGAUCAGGACAUCCUAAUGGUGCAGCCGCUAUUAAGGGUUCGUUUGUUCAACGAUUAAAGUCCU